rnacentral:rRNA from 1 species
UACGGGGGGGAGCAAGCGUUGUUCGGAUUUACUGGGCGUAGAGGGCGCGUAGGCGGCCAGCACAAGUCAGUUGUGAAAUCUCCGAGCUUAACUCGGAAAGGUCAACUGAUACUGUGCGGCUAGAGUGCGGAAGGGGCAACUGGAAUUCUUGGUGUAGCGGUGAAAUGCGUAGAUAUCAAGAGGAACACCUGCGGCGAAGGCGGGUUGCUGGGCCGACACUGACGCUGAGGCGCGAAAGCCAGGGGAGCGAACGGG